rnacentral:lncRNA from 9 species
GCUGUUGACAACUGAGGCUGGAUCCUUUAGGGUGGGGGCUGAUCAGGAGGAUGGGCAACUCCAGCGGAAGACUUAAGAGAGACAGAAGAAAUGCCUUCUCCACGGGCAGAUGGAGUGAGCAGUGUAGAAUCCAUCACCACAGUUCAAGG